rnacentral:rRNA from 1 species
GGGAUAACAGGGUAAUAUUAGAUACCCGGGUAGUCCUAGCUGUAAACGAUGGGCACUUGGUGUUGCGGGUAUCUAAU